rnacentral:lncRNA from 9 species
GUGUAGAGCAUGUAGCUCUUUCCCAGUCAUAGUGAUGCCCAAGUCGUACAUGCCCUGGAUGCAAGUCUAUCCUGUAGAUUGUGCUUUGUGGUAAGAUAUGAGACAUGGGAAGCAAGGUCCAUAUGUGAGCACAUGUGGUGUGAGUAUAUGUUUCCUCAGGACCUAUUGUCUGUUUCCACCACAAAUAGGCCUGGCAACUUCAUGGAAGACAAAUACCACCCCCUCUGCUCAGCUGCUCUGCAUUCAUUCCUUCUCCCUUUGCCACCGCUGUUCCCAAGUGGGCUUAAUAUUCCGGUUGCUCAGGGGGAGAUGGUGCAGAGUCAGAUGGCCCAAGCUCCUGACCUAUGUGGAAAAGCCAAAGUGGGAACCAUGCCAUAAUCCCAUGGGGAUGCUCUGGACCCCCGACCUGCACUUAUCACUCAACAGGGAAUGAUCAGUCAUGGAACAAGAGGGUGAGGGUCCUGCUUGACAUCCAUGCCUGGGCCUAGCAGCAUCUACAUAGCUCCACAGCUCCUCUAGACCAUGCCCAUCCUUAUAAUAUGAACUCUCAGUGCUGGUGUCAUUUCUUAAACAUGGCCAAAACAGCAGAGAAUUCAGGGAUAUGUAUAUAUAUACAGAUACAUAUAUAUACACACACACAUAUAUAGUCACUUUAAGGCUUACAAUUGACAACCCUAUAUACAUAUACAUAUAGACAUAUAUAUAUACAUAUACAUAUAUAUAACCCUAUAUACAUAUAUACACAUAUAUAUGUAUAUGUAUAUACAUACAUCUGUAUAUAUUCACUUUAGGGCUUACAAUUGAUAACCCUACAUAGCACACACCCAGGGGAUGCUGCAAAUAAAAGCUUAGAGUGAAACCUCAUCAUCUCAUUUGUAGCCUCGUGUCCAGCACGGUUGCACAAACCUCCUGCACAGCUGGGUGAGCAGUCAGUGCUGAUCACUCUCUGUUUCUCUCCGAGAUAUACUGUCCCACACUGUGAAGUCGGACAGCAUUUCAUUCAGGCACCUGCACACAUUUUGUAGACAAUGAAUACUGGGAGAAAAAUAGUGGUGUGAUUGAUAGUGACCAUCUUUACCGGCAGGAUUUUGGUAAUGUUACAUAUUCCGUAUUUGAUUUUCUUUAGGAGAGUGUGGGAAUACAUUUAUUAGCAUACUUUUCCUAGAAUAGAAGUCAACCCUCUAUGAAAGUUUAAACAGUAAUUAAGUGCAAAGACUUACGGAAGAGAUGAUAAAUACAGUCAGUACAAUGUGGCUUUUUGGGAGCAGAUGAUCUGGGAGGAAGUCAAGAAGACAGUGUCUAUUUAGCAGAAACUUCAGACCAGCAGAACGUGUCUGGGUAUCUAUGCUUGAAACAGGGCUGGCUUUGGGGGUCUUUUCCCAUUGAUUAGGUUCCUCUUAGCUAGAACACUUUCCUCAGGUUGUAUGUACGAGUAACUGUAGUAAGAUACAAGCAUGUGACAAAUUGGAGACUUACUUGCAAUGUGCAUCAAAAAUAGUAAUUUUUGUGAGCAGCAAACUUGAAUAGGACACUGCAGAAUAGCAGUCGUCAUGAAACAUGAAAACAUUCACCCUGGUUACAAUAACCUUAAAUCUCACGUUUUGAAAUGGUUUGAUUGGCAAAUGUCUAGUGACUCAGGAAGAGUAGAAAUGGAGGGGUAGUUCUUCCUUAAAUUCUGCACAUGCUGGCUUUUUGGCCUCUUCACCCUGCAAGGUUCACUCUCAACUCCUCCUGGGGGACAGGUCGUUCUCUCUCAUAGAAAAUUAUUUUCUUAGUCAGAGGGUUCUGUGGGAGCCUGAGAUUCCGUUUCGGAAAUGACAAGGCUCCUCUGAAAAGCCAAGCUUGUCCAUGGAAACACGCUCUCUGCCGGCAGCCGUUGGACCCAUCCUGUGCAGGGGUUGACUUCCCUCUGAAAGUGGUACGAUGACACGUCACCACGGUAAUGUGCUUGUGCACUUCUUGCCUCAUGGUCAGGCUGUCGCUCUGUGGCCUGAGAGGUUUGUACGUGGUGGCCAGUGUGACGCUCUCACUUCACGGCUCAUGCUUUAGGAAUGGGCAAUCUCAAUCACUGUUCCUAAGGUAAGUUUACAUUGCUCCCCCGAGUGGCUGUUCCUUCAGAUGGGCUCGCUCACUUUGUCUCCUGCAUUUUUCCUUCUUGUGUUUUUCUUCUCAUUUCUACCCCUCUGAGCUAUCUCUAGAGUUAUGCGUAUAACUUCCGGGUUCGUUGUCUUAAUUAAUAUGUCUGGUCCACCUGCCUCAGAUUCAUCACCCGUCAUUGUUGUGACGCUUGGACUGUCACUUGGUUACCCCUCAUGUGGGUCCUGUUUGCACUUCCUCACCUUCAACAGGACUGAGUAUCAGAGGAGAUGAAAAUAGGUACUGUCCAUGAGCUGCGAAGCAUCGUUCCCAUGAAGAUGCUGGGGAAUAAGCUUCCACCCUUCCCGACUUGAGGCAUCCAUUUACCCCCUUUGGUUUUCAGCCACCACUGACUGUCUAGCUUACUCUUGCCAUCACUCAAGGCUGAACGCAUACGGAGCAUUGACGAGGCACCCGUCCUUCCUUUUUCUAAAAUGUUACCCGUACUUCAUGAAGUCGUCCUCAUAACAUCAUACUAAAAGUCAGCCUUCUAGAAUACCAUUUCCACCUCGUAGAACAGGGCAUCGAGGCCCUUAGGGAUCUACAACCCUUUCCCCAGGUUCAUGAUUCUUCUGAAUGUGUUUGAACCAGACCAUCAGGCACGAUCACUCUUACUUUGCUGUGUUUCUAGAAGGUCUCAGUUAAACAAAGGUGGUUGUUCAAAAAUCCUGUCUGUUGGUUGUUUUAAACUGCAUGAUCCUUCUAAGUCUGACCUUGAUCCAGGCAGCACUCCUGGGCAGCUGGUGAGCCAGGGGACCAAAAGAUUAAAUGGAAUAAAUGAGUACAAAUUUCCCUACGGUCUUCUGACAGCAAGAUGUCAGCAGUCCUCCCUGUUGUGAUAGAUUGCAUAGGAUGCUGCUUCCGGAUCCAAAGGAACAAUCGACAGACGUCACAAAGAUCCACCUCUGGCUGCAUCAGAAAGUUAUGCUCCUGGCGCCACCAGCGAGUGCACCCCGCUAAUGGGUCGGGGACAGAAGAAACCCCGGGCUCCCAUGAAAGGCUGCCCAGCACCGCAGGAGGAAUAGAGGCUCCAAGUGGCUGCACAAUGCCGGCCGAUGACGCAACUAAUAAUAAUGGCAUGGCUUUGGAGCGCCCCACUCCAGUGACAAACAAUCGGGGUGAAGAAGAAGAAGAUUGCAUAGGAUGCUGCUUCCGGAUCCAAAGGAACAAUCGACAGACGUCACAAAGAUCCACCUCUGGCUGCAUCAGAAAGUUAUGCUCCUGGCGCCACCAGCGAGUGCACCCCGCUAAUGGGUCGGGGACAGAAGAAACCCCGGGCUCCCAUGAAAGGCUGCCCAGCACCGCAGGAGGAAUAGAGGCUCCAAGUGGCUGCACAAUGCCGGCCGAUGACGCAACUAAUAAUAAUGGCAUGGCUUUGGAGCGCCCCACUCCAGUGACAAACAAUCGGGGUGAAGAAGAAGAAGAAUUUAUUGCGGAGAGCGUUGGCAGCAUCACUAACGAAGAUGAAGAAUGUUACAUGGCAGAUAACGAGAAUUCUGACAAGGAAAGCAGAAUUAAGCGGAAGCGGAAACGCUCCCUGUUCCUGCGUUUAAGAAAAGCAUUUGGGGGGACAGCCUCCGAUGCCGAUGAUGAGCACACCUAGGAAGAGGCAGUGUCGAUGUGGCAGACCGGGGGUGCAAAGAUUGUCAGUUUGGCAUCAAUGACAACCUGGAUGUGAACACCCCCAGCCUACGCCUCAGCACAUCCAUACCAUCAGGACCUCCACCUAAAUAAGUCCAGAAGCAGCCUCACUCAAUGCUCACCUCCUAGGGCACCUCACUUAGUAUAAUCUCCGUUGUUUAACUGCAUAGAUUUAGUGUAUUAGUUAUAUCCCUAGUUUUAUCUUUUAGUUUUCUCUAUAUGUUCUAUAUGUUCAAUAUUUAUCUCUAUGUUCUGUCUUUAUGAAAUAAAAUGUUUCUUAUUAAAUU